rnacentral:rRNA from 1 species
GAUGAACGCUGGCGGCGUGCCUAAUACAUGCAAGUCGAGCGAACAGACGAGGAGCUUGCUCCUCUGACGUUAGCGGCGGACGGGUGAGUAACACGUGGAUAACCUACCUAUAAGACUGGGAUAACUUCGGGAAACCGGAGCUAAUACCGGAUAACAUGUUGAACCGCAUGGUUCAACAGUGAAAGACGGUCUUGCUGUCACUUAUAGAUGGAUCCGCGCCGCAUUAGCUAGUUGGUAAGGUAACGGCUUACCAAGGCAACGAUGCGUAGCCGACCUGAGAGGGUGAUCGGGCACACUGGAACUGAGACACGGUCGAGACUCCUACGGGAGGCAGCAGUAGGGAAUCUUACGCAAUGGGCGAAAGCCUGACGGAGCAACGCCGCGUGAGUGAAGAAGGUCUUCGGAUCGUAAAACUCUGUUAUUAGGGAAGAACAAAUGUGUAAGUAACUAUGCACGUCUUGACGGUACCUAAUCAGAAAGCCACGGCUAACUACGUG